CCUACGGGAGGCAGCAGUAGGGAAUAUUGCUCAAUGGGCGAAACCCUGACGCAGCAACGCCGCGUGGAGGAUGAAGGUUUUCGGAUUGUAAACUUCUUUUGUUAGAGAAGAUAAUGACGGUAUCUAACGAAUAAGCACCGGGCAACACCGUGCCAGCAGCCGCGGUAAUACGGAGGGUGAAAGCGUUACUCGGAAUCACUGGGCGUAAAGAGCGCGUAGGCGGGUUAGCAAGUCAGAUGUGAAAGCCUAUGGCUUAACCAUAGAACUGCAUUUGAAACUGUUAUUCUAGAGUAUGGGAGAGGUAGGUGGAAUUCUUGGUGUAGGGGUAAAAUGCGUAGAGAUCAAGAGGAAUACUCAUUGCGAAGGCGACCUGCUAGAACAUAACUGACGCUGAUUCGCGAAAGCGUGGGGAGCAAACAGGAUUAGAUACCCUGGUAGUC
rnacentral:rRNA from 1 species